CCUGCCCCUAGAGGCGUUGUAGGUGUGGCUUCUGUGUCACAUGCCAACGGAUGGCAAAGAGGAGAGAGUCCAUGUCUACCCUCAGUUUUCUGACCUAUGAGACAGAAUUUCUAUUUUCUUCUGUU
rnacentral:snoRNA from 1 species